rnacentral:rRNA from 1 species
AUUGAACGCUGGCGGCAUGCUUUACACAUGCAAGUCGAACGGCAGCGGGGGCUUCGGCCUGCCGGCGAGUGGCGAACGGGUGAGUAAUGCAUCGGAACGUGCCCAGUCAUGGGGGAUAACUACGCGAAAGCGUAGCUAAUACCGCAUACGCCCUGAGGGGGAAAGCGGGGGAUCGCAAGACCUCGCGUGAUUGGAGCGGCCGAUGUCGGAUUAGCUAGUUGGUGGGUAAAGGCCUACCAAGGCGACGAUCCGUAGCGGGUCUGAGAGGAUGAUCCGCCACACUGGGACUGAGACACGGCCCAGACUCCUACGGGAGGCAGCAGUGGGGAAUUUUGGACAAUGGGGGCAACCCUGAUCCAGCCAUGCCGCGUGAGUGAAGAAGGCCUUCGGGUUGU